UAGGGAAUCUUCCACAAUGGGCGAAAGCCUGAUGGAGCAACGCCGCGUGUGUGAUGAAGGGUUUCGGCUCGUAAAACACUGCUGUAAGAGAAGAAUGACAUUGAGAGUAACUGUUCAAUGUGUGACGGUAUCUUACCAGAAAGGAACGGCUAAAUACGUGCCAA
rnacentral:rRNA from 1 species